ACUAUUUCUCCUGUAGCUCUUCAGGCAAGCUGAAUUGAACUCAUGUUGCUUUUUCCCUUUUUGUUUCAGCUCAGUUUGCAGGGGAAGACCCAGUGGUAGCUUUGGAAGCUGCUUUGCAGUUUGAAGACACCCGGGAAUCCAUGCACGCAUUUUGUGUUGGCCAGUAUUUGGAGCCUGACCAAGAAAUCGUCACCAUACCAGAUCUGGGGAGUCUCUCUUCACCUCUGAUAGACACAGAGAGGAAUCUGGGCCUGCUUCUCGGAUUACACGCUUCCUAUUUGGCAAUGAGCACACCGCUGUCUCCUGUCGAGAUUGAAUGUGCCAAAUGGCUUCAGUCAUCCAUCUUCUCUGGAGGCCUGCAGACCAGCCAGAUCCACUACAGCUACAACGAGGAGAAAGACGAGGACCACUGCAGCUCCCCAGGGGGCACACCUGCCAGCAAAUCUCGACUCUGCUCCCACAGACGGGCCCUGGGGGACCAUUCCCAGGCAUUUCUGCAAGCCAUUGCAGACAACAACAUUCAGGAUCACAACGUGAAGGUGAGCUAGGCCUGCCCCCACUGCCACCUCAGUGCUCUGUUUAUCUGAGGACUUUGACAUAGGAAUACUUAUGUGCUCUUUGGUUAACACAGCACAGACUUUGUUUCAUGUAUUAUUUGGAGGGUUUUGAGGUGAGAACCUGAUUGUGUUAACAUGCUAGCGAGGCUUCAGAAGCAUUAGUGAUUGCAAGUGCGUCAGAAGCUGUGGCAUGUUUAAGAUUUGUGAAGACUCACUGGGUUUCCCUGAAGUUACUUCCAGCUGUUCCUGUUGCAGGACUUUUUGUGUCAAAUAGAAAGGUACUGUAGGCAGUGCCAUUUGACCACACCGAUCAUGUUUCCCCCCGAGCAUCCCGUGGAAGAGGUCGGUCGCUUGCUGUUAUGUUGCCUCUUAAAACAUGAAGAUUUAGGUCAUGUGGCAUUAUCUUUAGUUCAUGCAGGUGCACUUGGUAUUGAGCAAGUAAAGCACAGAACGUUGCCUAAGUCAGUGGUGGAUGUUUGUAGAGUUGUCUACCAAGCAAAAUGUUCGCUCAUUAAGACUCAUCAAGAACAGGACCGUUCUUACAAGGAGGUCUGCGCUCCUGUCAUCGAACGUUUGAGAUUCCUCUUUAAUGAAUUGAGACCUGCUGUUUGUAAUGACCUCUCUAUAAUGUCUAAGUUUAAAUUGUUAAGUUCUUUGCCCCAUUGGAGGAGGAUAGCUCAGAAGAUAAUUCGAGAACCAAGGAAAAAGAGAGUUCCUAAGAAGCCAGAAUCUACGGAUGAUGAAGAAAAAAUUGGAAACGAAGAGAGUGAUUUAGAAGAAGCUUGCAUUUUGCCUCAUAGUCCAAUAAAUGUGGACAAGAGACCCAUUGCAAUUAAAUCACCCAAGGACAAAUGGCAGCCGCUGUUGAGUACUGUUACAGGUGUUCACAAAUACAAGUGGUUGAAGCAGAAUGUGCAGGGUCUUUAUCCGCAGUCUCCACUCCUCAGUACAAUUGCUGAAUUUGCCCUUAAAGAAGAGCCAGUGGAUGUGGAAAAGAGAAAGUGCCUACUAAAACAGGUAACAUUUGAUGAGAAAUGCUUCUCUGCAUUGGGUAAUAUACAUAACACUUAACUGUAUGCAUUGAUAUUUUGCAGUUGGAGAGAGCAGAGGUUCGCCUGGAAGGGAUAGAUACAAUUUUAAAAUUGUAUCUGGUGAGCAAGAAUUUCUUACUUCCAUCUGUGCCAUAUGCAAUGUUUUGUGGAUGGCAAAGACUUAUUCCUGAGGGAAUCGAUAUAGGGGAACCUCUUACUGAUUGUUUAAAGGAUGUUGAUUUGAUCCCGCCUUUUAAUCGGAUGCUGCUGGAAGUCACCUUUGGCAAGCUGUACGCUUGGGCUGUUCAGAACAUUCGAAAUGUUUUGGUGGAUGCCAGUGCC
ensembl:lncRNA novel transcript